rnacentral:rRNA from 1 species
UAAUACGGAGGGGGCAAGCGUUGUCCGGACUUACUGGGCGUAAAGGGUGCGUAGGCGGUCUUGUGCGUCGGUGCUGAAAGCGCCCGGCUUAACCGGGCGAGGCGUGCCGAUACGACGAGACUUGAGGGGCAGCGAGGGUGGCGGAACUCCUGGUGUAGUGGUGAAAUGCGUAGAGAUCAGGAAGAACACCCGUGGCGCAAGCGGCCACCUGGCUGCCAACUGACGCUGAGGCACGAGAGCGUGGGGAGCGAACCGGAUUAGAUACCCGGGUAGUCCACGCCGUAAACGAUGUCGACUCGGUGUGCGGGGCGCGAAAGCGCGCUGCGUGCCUAAGCUCACGCGAGAAGUCGACCGCCUGGGGACUACGAGCGCAAGCUUA